rnacentral:rRNA from 1 species
AACGUAGGACGCGAGCGUUAUCCGGAGUUACUGGGCGUAAAGGGCAGGCAGGCGGACAGACAAGCGUUGUGUGAAAUCUCCGAGGCUUAACCGGGAGGGCGCAUGGCGGACUGUCUGACUAGAGGGCAGCAGAGGAGCGUGGAAUUCCGGGUGGAGUAGUGAAAUGCGUAGAGAUCCGGAGGAACGCCAGAGGCGAAAGCGGGGCUCUGGGCUGCACCUGACGCUGAACUGCGAAAGCCAGGGGAGCGAACGGG